AAUAUUAUAGUGCUACAUAUGGCACAAUUCUUACAAGAAUUGGUGUCAACUAAGUCGGCCAAAUCUAUACUUACUAUUUUUUAAAAAUAUUAAGUGAUUUUAUUGUAUUUUUCAGUCGUUCCAAGUAAACCUAUGAACGUGGCGGUUUAUGUAAUUAAGGGGAAUGCAGCUAAUGUAUCAUGGUUGCCGCCAGAAUUUCCAGAAAAUGGCAUUGAUCGUUAUAUAAUAUCAUUGAUAAGAAGUGAUACAAAUGGUACUGUUAAUGAAUGGAACGUCACUUCAAGCCCGGCUGUUAUUCAAAUUCCAGGUACAGGAUAUGUAUAAUAGUAUUUAAGACUAGAAAACACAUGAAUGCAGCAACCCCUCGCCUUUCUUAACAGAUGAAGUUUAAAAAAUCCACAUAAAGUAUUAAGACAAUUAUAAACAAAUAUAAAAAC